rnacentral:tRNA from 5 species
GGAGGCACGCAUUGGAGUGCUUAUAGGUCUUGAAAACCUUGAAGGUGUAGUGAUAUGCCGUGGGGGUUCGACUCCCUCUGUCUCCGC